UUACGCCACACUAGUUUGGUUUUGGAACUGACGAAAGAGCUUGGAAACCGUCUGAAUUUCAGCGUCAAUGUUGUGGAACCCGCUGAUGGUAAAUGGGGCUCUCGACUUAGCUUCAGUCGGUGGACUGGCAUGGUGGAACAAGUUCGGACAGGAUCGGUAGCAUUUGCCGCUGCAGGGUUCACUGUCACAGCCGAUCGAAUGAGUGCCGUCAAUUUUAGCAUGUCUCUAGACGCCCG